rnacentral:tRNA from 1 species
AAGGAUUUAAGUUAAAUUAAACUAGUAACCUUCAAAGUUGAAAAUAUAAAUUUAAGCCUUA